AGACCCGAAACCCGGUGAUCUAGCCAUGGGCAGGUUGAAGGUUGGGUAACACUAACUGGAGGACCGAACCGACUAAUGUUGAAAAAUUAGCGGAUGACCUGUGGCUGGGGGUGAAAGGCCAAUCAAACCGGGAGAUAGCUGGUUCUCCCCGAAAGCUAUUUAGGUAGCGCCUCGUGAAUUCAUCUCCGGGGGUAGAGCACUGUUUCGGCUAGGGGGCCAUCCCGGCUUACCAACCCGAUGCAAACUGCGAAUACCGGAGAAUGUUAUCACGGGAGACACACGGCGGGUGCUAACGUCCGUCGUGAAGAGGGAAACAACCCAGACCGCCAGCUAAGGUCCCAAAGUCAUGGUUAAGUGGGAAACGAUGUGGGAAGGCCCAGACAGCCAGGAUGUUGGCUUAGAAGCAGCCAUCAUUUAAAGAAAGCGUAAUAGCUCACUGGUCGAGUCGGCCUGCGCGGAAGAUGUAACGGGGCUAAACCAUGCACCGAAGCUGCGGCAGCGACGCUGAUGCGUUGUUGGGUAGGGGAGCGUUCUGUAAGCCUGCGAAGGUGUGUCGUGAGGCAUGCUGGAGGUAUCAGAAGUGCGAAUGCUGACAUAAGUAACGAUAAAGCGGGUGAAAAGCCCGCUCGCCGGAAGACCAAGGGUUCCUGUCCAACGUUAAUCGGGGCAGGGUGAGUCGACCCCUAAGGCGAGGCCGAAAGGCGUAGUCGAUGGGAAACGGGUUAAUAUUCCCGUACUUGGUGUUACUGCGAAGGGGGGACGGAGAAGGCUAUGUUGGCCGGGCGACGGUUGUCCCGGUUUAAGCGUGUAGGUGUGUGUUCCAGGUAAAUCCGGUUCACUUUAACACUGAGGCGUGACGACGAGGCACUACGGUGCUGAAGCAACAAAUGCCCUGCUUCCAGGAAAAGCCUCUAAGCAUCAGGUAACAUCAAAUCGUACCCCAAACCGACACAGGUGGUCAGGUAGAGAAUACCAAGGCGCUUGAGAGAACUCGGGUGAAGGAACUAGGCAAAAUGGUGCCGUAACUUCGGGAGAAGGCACGCUGACACGUAGGUGAAGUGAUUUACUCAUGGAGCUGAAGUCAGUCGAAGAUACCAGCUGGCUGCAACUGUUUAUUAAAAACACAGCACUGUGCAAACACGAAAGUGGACGUAUACGGUGUGACGCCUGCCCGGUGCCGGAAGGUUAAUUGAUGGGGUCAGCGCAAGCGAAGCUCCUGAUCGAAGCCCCGGUAAACGGCGGCCGUAACUAUAACGGUCCUAAGGUAGCGAAAUUCCUUGUCGGGUAAGUUCCGACCUGCACGAAUGGCGUAAUGAUGGCCAGGCUGUCUCCACCCGAGACUCAGUGAAAUUGAACUCGCUGUGAAGAUGCAGUGUACCCGCGGCAAGACGGAAAGACCCCGUGAACCUUUACUAUAGCUUGACACUGAACAUUGAGCCUUGAUGUGUAGGAUAGGUGGGAGGCUUUGAAGUGUGGACGCCAGUCUGCAUGGAGCCGACCUUGAAAUACCACCCUUUAAUGUUUGAUGUUCUAACGUGGACCCGUAAUCCGGGUUGCGGACAGUGUCUGGUGGGUAGUUUGACUGGGGCGGUCUCCUCCUAAAGAGUAACGGAGGAGCACGAAGGUUGGCUAAUCCUGGUCGGACAUCAGGAGGUUAGUGCAAUGGCAUAAGCCAGCUUGACUGCGAGCGUGACGGCGCGAGCAGGUGCGAAAGCAGGUCAUAGUGAUCCGGUGGUUCUGAAUGGAAGGGCCAUCGCUCAACGGAUAAAAGGUACUCCGGGGAUAACAGGCUGAUACCGCCCAAGAGUUCAUAUCGACGGCGGUGUUUGGCACCUCGAUGUCGGCUCAUCACAUCCUGGGGCUGAAGUAGGUCCCAAGGGUAUGGCUGUUCGCCAUUUAAAGUGGUACGCGAGCUGGGUUUAGAACGUCGUGAGACAGUUCGGUCCCUAUCUGCCGUGGGCGCUGGAGAACUGAGGGGGGCUGCUCCUAGUACGAGAGGACCGGAGUGGACGCAUCACUGGUGUUCGGGUUGUCAUGCCAAUGGCACUGCCCGGUAGCUAAAUGCGGAAGAGAUAAGUGCUGAAAGCAUCUAAGCACGAAACUUGCCCCGAGA
rnacentral:rRNA from 1 species